GACGUAGGGCGCGAGCGUUGUCCGGAUUUAUUGGGCGUAAAGAGCUCGUAGGCGGCUUGUUGCGUCAGCUGUGAAAACCCGCAGCUCAACUGUGGGCUUGCAGCUGAUACGGGCAGGCUUGAGUUCGGUAGGGGAGACUGGAAUUCCUGGUGUAGCGGUGAAAUGCGCAGAUAUCAGGAGGAACACCGGUGGCGAAGGCGGGUCUCUG
rnacentral:rRNA from 1 species